GGGGAAGGCGGGGGACCCGGGACUUCCAAGUGUCAGCCUGACCGGUUUGAAUUUCACCUUCUGUUCACCUUGGAUGAGAGCAGUAAUCAUCACGAUCCCAGGGAACAGCCAAAGGAAGAGAAAAGGCAAAAGAUUUGGACAAGACUCAUGAAGACUAACAGCUCUUGGAUAAUUGAGAGAAGGCAGCUGCGUGAACAGUUUUGAUGCAAUCAUGAAGGCAGGGCCCAGUGCCUGUGGCAUCUGCCUUUUUCUGGAACCAAUCCAUAUUUCCUUGUGGUUUUCUAAGGUGCAGAGAGGGCACAUUGGGAACUUUGCUUGGGGUCUUUUUCACAUCUUAGAGGGAAGGUCCCUCAACAUCUGCAUUGGCGGAGUGUGAUCCUCAUGUCCCUCUGAAUGAUCUGGACUUGAGGUAACCAGCCCCUUCCAGGAAGCUGUCCCAUGAGUGAAGCCUCAGCAGCAGCCUCUGUCAGUCCCUCCCCCACAGAACCUUUGGCUUCCAUUUGACCAGCCUUGACAUCCAGUGUCCAAACACCGAUAAAAUUGAUUCCACUAAGCGUGGGAAAGUCCUGGAGCAUCGAUUGUUUCCUCCUCUGCACCCCCGAUACCCUGGCAUUAGCACUCUCCCAGAAUGUACCUUGCUUGUUUGAUUGGAGGAGGUCAAAGCCCUGAUGAAGAAUGAGUGGAAUUCCACAGGAUUGGAGCAGUCUUGAUAAAUGACAGCAGGGGAUGGUGUGGGGAGGGGAAAGGAUCAGAGGAAGUGUGGAUAAAUGAAUGGCUUAAAAAAUAAUCCACCUUUGCCUCCCCCUUUUCUACCAGUCUGUCUAGUGCUUCAGGGUGAAAAAAAAAAAAAAAAGCUUGCCUUUCUAAACAUUUGGAGUUUCAGAAAUGAUCUAUAGAGCAUGUUUAGUUUUUCAAGUUAAAAAUAUUAAAAGAAAAAAAAUGUUUGAGGGCUUUACUGCUUUCCCGCAAAGAGCUAGAGCCACCCAAGCAGGAUUGACUGUCAUUGGUUUGAGGUUUCUGUUUGCUUUGAGGCUAUUUUUUCCUUAGUGCUAUAAACUAGAUCAGUCCAUUUUUAGCUGAUAACCCUUUCCAAUUUCGCUGUGAAAUGAGGGGCUGGUUGGGUGGUUUUUUUUUAUGUUCUUUCCAGCGUUGACUUUUAUGGUCUUUGAUUCCAAGGUACCUCGUCGACUCUGAAGACGAGAGAUGGGUAGGUUCUAACUCCAGAUGAGCCACUGCAAGAUGGUACCAGGAUGAGAUAGAGAGUCUCUGUACUAUCUUUUAUAUGUUCUCAAACCCAGCCAGGGAUCAGAGUGACAAUAUAACAUGGGGAAUCAUAGAGAUGUUUAUGGUAAUUCUGCUAUGAGUCAACUGAGAUGUCCCUUAUGGAGAUAACUUCCCAUACUAUAGGCAGUUGGACAAAGAUGUAAAUGCCUUGUUUACAAAUGCUACCCAGAUCUCCUAAUUAGGACCACACAUGCGGAGAACCCAACAGCUUUUGGACUUAUCGGCCAAUGGUCUUCUUGGGAAGGUCUCUCCUAGUCAUGGGAAUUGUCUUUUUAUUGUUCAAGCUUUUGCAUAGACCUGGAAGAGGCAUCCAUUGCUGUUACCCCUGAGUUUAUAAUCAUGCUGCAAGUCCAGUGGGGAACUUUGGCACAAAGCAUUGAAUGAGAUGGGACUGCACUUAUGUAGCCUGCAUUUCUUGAGAAUAAAGAUUUCUGUUCAUUUAGUGCAGUGGUUAUCAUCUGGGGGAAAACCAGUGAGUAGAGGCCAGGGAUGCCACUAAAAUCCCUACACUGUGCAGGAAAGCUGUCAGCCCUUUGUCCCACAAGAGAUUAACUGGUUCCAAAAGUCAGUAGUGCUGUGGUUGAGAAACCCUGUUUACCACCUGUAGGUUCCAGAGAGCUCGGAUGGUGGUGGUCAUUGUGCUAAGUUUCAAAUUCAGUAUUUAGGUUUGGUUUUUAGCUUAUAGGCAACAAAUUGGCUGACUAUGGGGUGAAAAGGAAGCACCUCCUUUAUCAAGAUUGGCUUCAAAAGAUGUCUGCCUCCCCUUCUGGUGGGUCCUGUGUCCAUUCACAGUGUGAGAAAUGGAAAGGAGGUCACUAAGAGACUUGCAAUGGAUGUAAUAACUGGAUGCAGAAACUCUGGAUCUGAAGGGAAUGUUCAUGACUAUUUCAUCCCUCCUGCUGCCUUGGAGAACCAAACGCAGGAGCCACCCAAGGUGAAAACCAUCCAUUUCUUGGAGAAGUGCCACGGUGGGGUUGCAAGUCCCAGGAUCAAGUUUUCGAUGUGUCUCUUUUUCCCGUAAAGUGGCUGAAAUCUGAAGCUGAAUCUGCAAGUGUCAUGGAGUCAUUGAAUCUCACAGUCUCAACUGAUAAAAGUUAUUAAAGGUCGUCUGGUUCAGCCUUCUA
ensembl:lncRNA SOX9-AS1 SOX9 antisense RNA 1